rnacentral:rRNA from 1 species
UUACAGUUUCGUCAUGAAACAGUAAUUAAAGGAGUAAUCCGCUACAAGAUGGGCCCGCGGCGCAUUAGCUAGUUGGUGAGGUAACGGCUCACCAAGGCGACGAUGCGUAGCCGACCUGAGAGGGUGAUCGGCCACAUUGGGACUGAGACACGGCCCAGACUCCUACGGGAGGCAGCAGUGGGGAAUAUUGCACAAUGGGGGAAACCCUGAUGCAGCAACGCCGCGUGAGUGAUGAAGGUUUUCGGAUCGUAAAGCUCUGUCUUCGGGGACGAUAAUGACGGUACCCGAGGAGGAAGCCACGGCUAACUACGUG